AUUGAACGCUGGCGGCAGGCCUAACACAUGCAAGUCGAGCGGAUGAAGGGAGCUUGCUCCUGGAUUCAGCGGCGGACGGGUGAGUAAUGCCUAGGAAUCUGCCUGGUAGUGGGGGAUAACGUCCGGAAACGGGCGCUAAUACCGCAUACGUCCUGAGGUAGAAAGUGGGGGAUCUUCGGACCUCACGCUAUCAGAUGAGCCUAGGUCGGAUUAGCUAGUUGGUGGGGUAAAGGCCUACCAAGGCGACGAUCCGUAACUGGUCUGAGAGGAUGAUCAGUCACACUGGAACUGAGACACGGUCCAGACUCCUACGGGAGGCAGCAGUGGGGAAUAUUGGACAAUGGGCGAAAGCCUGAUCCAGCCAUGCCGCGUGUGUGAAGAAGGUCUUCGGAUUGUAAAGCACUUUAAGUUGGGAGGAAGGGCAGUAAGUUAAUACCUUGCUGUUUUGACGUUACCAACAGAAUAAGCGCCGGCUAACUUCGUG
rnacentral:rRNA from 1 species